GGCCUCUGCCAGUGGAUCCUAGAGCGUGGUACUAGGUGGAGGAAGGGUUAGGAUCACCUCAAAUUUUUGUGAUGAACCUAUGUUCUUCCAGGACAGAACAGGACAGCCUUUGCUAUUUUGUACUGGAAGAACAUGCAAAACUUAAAAAAAAAAAAAAGUUAUUGCUUAAACUCAUUUUUUGAGUUGCUGUGUGAUGCUAUUUAUGUUUUAAUGUCUCUGGUUUGCCUUUCAGUGGCGAAAAUGCCACAGUAACCCACCAUCUGCAAUAUGGGGUUCCAUCAGAUGAUGAAAAUUUUAUGAAGUAUGUGAUGAGUGAGGAGUUGGUGCUGGGCAUUUUGCUACAUGAUUUCCAUGAUCAGAACAUACCUGGUUGUGAGAAUCUGGGGCUUGAUCCAGCAUCCCUCUUGCUCGAUGAAUGAAGUGAUGGAAGUCGGACUGCGUCUGAAAGCAGUGCCCCACCGAGUCCUAGAGAUGAAGGGAAUUCACUCUGUUUUACAGAAAAGAUUCUGUGAAUUAAUUCAGAAGCACCAGGAACAACCAGGGAGGUGGAGACUCCUUUCUCUCCUGAUUCUGCACUCUGGCUCCAAGCCCAGUAAAACAGCUCCUGAGCACUGCUUCAGCUGGGUCCACUCUUGACAAAAGCAGGAAGCCAGCUAGGGUAGAGGUGAUAGAGACACGGUGUUGUUCUAUCCUUUAGGCUGGAGUGCGGUGGUGCUGUCAUGGCUCACUGCUAUUCUUGAAGCACGCCACCAACCUGUGUUCCUUUAUCUUUAGCACAGAGGUGCACUGCCUUCUUUUAGGUGGGAUCACAUAAGCAUGAGCUGCUAGAGCAGGGAGAGGCAGGCAGCCAGGUUAGGAUGACUAAGCCAAUCAUUCACUGAAAUCACCCUUUUUCCCUCCACCGUUGUAUUUGAUCUACCUCUAAGCCAGGGUGUGAAGAAAAGGAAGGCACUUUAGAAGACCUCAGUGGUGUGGCUCUGUGUCUGCUUCCAUGACCUGCACCUGAGUGUCUUAGCCAACCAGCCUUAGGCGCACCACCAGGGUUACCUGGGGAUCUAUAUAUAUAGCUACAGAUGGGAGCAUGUGUUUCUUCAUUGGUUUGCAACUCCUCAUUGUUCCUGUGAUUCCCGAACACCCUUUUUGGAAACGUGAGUCCCUGUGAGUUUUCAGCAUCCUGCUCUCACUUUGGAUAGUCAUUCCAUUUGCAUUUUUUAUAAACUUACAUCAGGGAAUCAUU
rnacentral:lncRNA from 13 species